GACGAACGCUGGCGGCGUGCCUAAUACAUGCAAGUAGAACGCUGAAGGAGGAGCUUGCUUCUCUGGAUGAGUUGCGAACGGGUGAGUAACGCGUAGGUAACCUGCCUGGUAGCGGGGGAUAACUAUUGGAAACGAUAGCUAAUACCGCAUAAGAGUAGAUGUCGCAUGACAUUUGCUUAAAAGGUGCAAUUGCAUCACUACCAGAUGGACCUGCGUUGUAUUAGCUAGUUGGUGAGGUAACGGCUCACCAAGGCAACGAUACAUAGCCGACCUGAGAGGGUGAUCGGCCACACUGGGACUGAGACACGGCCCAGACUCCUACGGGAGGCAGCAGUAGGGAAUCUUCGGCAAUGGACGGAAGUCUGACCGAGCAACGCCGCGUGAGUGAAGAAGGUUUUCGGAUCGUAAAGCUCUGUUGUAAGAGAAGAACGAGUGUGAGAGUGGAAAGUUUCACACUGUGACGGUAU
rnacentral:rRNA from 1 species